CCAGAAUGGCUGGAGAUCUUUAUGCGAUUUUUACACUCUGUGUCAAAAUCUAAAUUACUCUGCGACCAAGCCACCCCAAAUCUGUGUUUGUCUGUCAGCUGUAAUGGAUCCACUUGUGUGUGCAGACCAGACCAUGUAUUCUGCAGAGCAGGCUGGAAGCCGUACAUCCAGGAUGUACUGCUGAGGGCUUGAUGGAAGUCAGUGCAAGAGAGACACAAAAAUAUUUCCUGAAUCCAGAGGCGCCAAUUUUCGUGAGUUAAAAUGUGGCAUCUGUCGGUGUAAAAAGGAUUUUGGAUUCUCCACCCACACUGAAGCAGAGAGGAUGUGGCUGAAUCUAUACAUCAUGAGGGAUUUUUGCCACCUUAUCUAAUGCACAUGUGAAAGGGAAGUACUGACGAAGGAUGUUAAUCCUGAACACAUACGUGACAGUGCAAGCUAUUGACAUGUCUGGUUCUUGCCCCAAUGACCCAGUGUCAAAAACUCCAUUCCCUGUGCUACCCUGAAUUGGAUACAUGGAGAGCUCUCAAUCUUGCAUCGUGUAAUGGAGUAAUUUUCCAACAAUGUAGUGGUACGAAAAUCGUAUUUUUGGCCAAUACUGUACAUUCCUGGCUAAUGCACCAAUGCCUUCAUGGAAAGGGAAGUAUUAAAUUUGAGAGGCAAGUGCUACUAAGGUCUGAAUACAUUACGUUUACAACAGGUUGCAAAGAUAGGUAUCAAGAGACAGUUUGAAAGAUCUUUCAGAUGAUGUUAGCAAAUUCGUAAUUAAGAUAUGGUA
rnacentral:lncRNA from 1 species